ACUCCCUGGUGGGACUCUGUCUGUGACUUGUGUAGUCUUGAUUGGUCACAUCACAGGCAGAGUUCUAGUUAGGUGG
rnacentral:pre_miRNA from 1 species